UUAGCAUGGCCCUGCCCCGGAGGCGGGCGGGCGCGCGGCUCAGUCCCGCGGAGCGGAGCGGUGCGGGCGCGGAGCCGAGCGAGGCGCGGAGCUGGCUGCUGGCGGGUGCGGGGACCCUCGCCACCCGACCUGGGAGAGCGGGAUGGGACGCCGCCCGCGGGGACCUGGGUCCCCCCGGGGACCUGGCCCUCCACGCCCCGGGCCGGGGCUGCCACCACUGCUGCUUGUACUGGCGCUGGCGGCCCAUGGGGGCUGCGCAGCGCCCGCGCCCCGCGCGGAGGACCUCAGCCUCGGGGUGGAGUGGCUAAGCAGGUUUGGCUACCUGCCGCCUGCAGAUCCGGCAUCAGGGCAGCUACAGACCCAGGAGGAACUGUCCAAAGCGAUUACUGCCAUGCAGCAGUUUGGUGGUCUGGAGACCACUGGCAUCCUAGAUGAGGCCACUCUGGCCCUGAUGAAAACCCCUCGAUGCUCCCUUCCGGACCUGCCCCCUGGGGCCCAAUCGAGAAGGAAGCGGCAGACUCCACCCCCAACCAAAUGGAGCAAGAGGAACCUUUCUUGGAGGGUCCGGACAUUCCCACGGGACUCACCCCUGGGCCGGGAUACUGUGCGUGCACUCAUGUACUACGCCCUCAAAGUCUGGAGUGACAUCACACCCUUGAACUUCCACGAGGUAGCGGGCAACGCGGCGGACAUCCAGAUCGACUUCUCCAAGGCCGACCACAAUGACGGCUACCCCUUCGAUGGCCCUGGUGGCACGGUGGCCCACGCAUUCUUCCCUGGUGACCACCACACGGCAGGGGACACCCACUUUGAUGACGAUGAGCCAUGGACCUUCCGUUCCUCAGAUGCCCACGGGAUGGACCUGUUUGCAGUGGCCGUCCAUGAGUUUGGUCAUGCCAUUGGUCUGAGCCAUGUUGCCGCCCCAAGCUCCAUCAUGCAACCGUACUACCAGGGCCCCGUGGGUGACCCGCUACGCUAUGGACUUCCCUAUGAGGACAGGGUGCGUGUCUGGCAGUUGUACGGUGUGCGGGAAUCCGUGUCCCCUACUGCCCAGCUGGAUACCCCAGAGCCCGAGGAGCCACCCCUCCUGCCAGAGCCCCCCAACAAUCGGUCUAGCACUCCGCCCCAGAAGGACGUGCCUCACAGGUGCACUGCCCACUUUGAUGCUGUGGCCCAGAUUCGAGGCGAAGCAUUCUUUUUCAAAGGCAAGUAUUUCUGGAGGCUGACCCGGGACCGACACUUGGUGUCGCUGCAGCCGGCUCAAAUGCAUCGCUUCUGGCGGGGCCUGCCGCUGCACCUGGACAGUGUGGACGCCGUGUAUGAGCGUACCAGUGACCACAAGAUUGUCUUCUUCAAAGGACCAGCUGUACUGGCGCUAUGAUGACCACACACGGCGCAUGGACCCUGGCUACCCUGCCCAGGGACCCCUGUGGAGAGGUGUCCCCAGCAUGUUGGAUGAUGCCAUGCGCUGGUCUGAUGGUGCAUCCUAUUUCUUCCGAGGCCAGGAGUACUGGAAAGUGCUGGAUGGCGAGCUGGAAGCAGCCCCCGGGUACCCACAGUCUACAGCCCGCGACUGGCUGGUAUGCGGUGAGCCGCUGGCGGAUGCGGAGGAUGUAGGGCCUGGACCCCAGGGCCGCAGUGGGGCCCAAGAUGGUCUGGCAGUAUGUUCCUGCACUUCAGACGCACACAGGUUGGCACUGCCAUCUCUGCUGCUUCUGACUCCACUGCUGUGGGGCCUGUGAACCUCAGUCUCUGCCAAGGCAUCCUGAGGGCAGUGCUAGCCUUGCGGAUCAAGGAGCCAAGGGGAGCAGGGACACACUGGCCAGUACUCAGCAGGACUUGUGCUCCAAGCUUCCGGUCCCUCGCUCCUUCCUUCCUUCCUUCCUUGAACCCAGGGGUGCUGUGCCAUCUGCUGGAGUGGUCUCCAGCUGGGACAGGACGUCCCACCAAGGGCAUCCAUGCACACCUUGCCUACCUGGAGCAGCCAUAGGCAGCUCCCCUUCCCUCCUCUGCACAUCAUGCUGCUUCGUUGCACCUUGCCGGGCUGCCCAAGCCCAGCUGUCACAACCCCAGGAUGCCUUGUCUGCACCUGAGCGGCUCUGAUGGCAUCUGCACGUGGGCUGAUGAGGGGCAAACAGGGGUUCCUCGUGGUAUCCGUAGGGGCCACCAUGCCUGUUUCACAAGUAAGAGAGUUGAUGCCCCGAUGGGGGAACAGGGUGGGAGAAAGGCACCUACCCAGAAGUCUGAUCCACUGCCGUUUGCAGCAGCCAGCGCCGUAUCUGCUGGGAUAGGGGACCAGUCACACUCAGGAUCUGCCCACAGAUUCCCAGAUGCUGGCCAGGGGCCUUGCUCCAACCACCAGGAGCACAGCCACCUCUCCCCGUCCUAGAUAGGUUAGCCAUGGAGGCUGUGUCCUGUUAUCUCCCUCUCUUUGGCCAGGAGAGCAUUGUGGGUCUCCCUCGGGUGCUGUUGAUGGGGGUGGGGGGCGCCCAUAGAGAUAUUUCUUCAUCUGUCAGUACCCAUUGCUUCAGCAAGAUGCCCCCAUAUAGUUCUGGCCUGAGACCCUGCAGCUUGGACUCACAGCUGUCCCCUCCCCAGCUGCAGAAGGGCUUCUAACACCUGGAAUAAAGGUGGGCGUUCAGUUUAGGGAAGGAGGAUGGUUGGGGGAGCCCAGGGUGAUAGCAAGGGGGAGCUGCAGGGAUAAGUGUCAGGGUCCUCGGGGAGUCAUGACAAUGUUACCGCCUAACUUGGAGAUGUAGGAGCUGUGCACGGAUUGCUUCUCUGGGUGACAAACCUCCAUGGUCCAGAAAGGGGCUGAGGUUGAACCCAAGAUGGGUUAAUGAGCUCCAGAAAGGAACAGCCAAGUUCAAAGGUUCUGGGACAAGACGGGCCUGAGGAACAGGGCCACCCAGGUAGGCGUGGCUGUAGGGUAAGCAGUUUCUGUCAUUGGGCACGAGAUGAAAAUUAGUGAUCACACGCACAUACCCCCCUCCCCAACUGGCCCGGUCCCAUCUCAGGUAAGAAAGGCUUCUGUCUACCCCAGGCCAGGUUUGAGUGUUGUCAGGAUGAGUGAGCAGCUAGCGGGGCCUAAGUUUCUACCCUCCAUUUCCCAAGCCUGGCCACACCCUAGACCCACCUGUCAGACUAGGCAGGACAGAGUCAGGGGUAGGGGCAUCUGAGGUUUCCCUGUCUUGGAAGCCACCCUACUCUGCCCUCAUAUCAAAGCACGCUCCUAUGAUGUCCCAUGUUGUCCACCAGCCUGCAGGACACAGAUGUCCUAUACAGCAACAGGGAAGGGUCCAAAAAUCUUUGUCACAUAGCACUGAAAGCCAGGCCCGCAGGCUGGAGCUGUCUAGAUGCUGGUGUCACACUCAUUUUAAAACCCAAACUCUUAAUAAAAAUUUUGUACACUGGACAGGUUGACAGCUCAGUGGUAAGGUUUUGGGGUUGAUCUCCUCCUGUACAACUCCCCCACCACCACCCCCAAAAUUCUCUGUACCUCUGGUCUUGGGCUAAAUGGUCAGUGGGAACAGAGUUCUCUGAACUGCCCUCCCAUGCCCUGCCUGCCUCCAUUGCUGCAUUCGGAGGUCUUGCAGGGAGAGCAGAACAGAUUGGGUGCUAAUAAUGCAUGGAUUCCUGCAGGCUUCGCUCUGCAGUUGGACAGAAUGCAUUGCUGGGGCCCCUGUGGUUUAUGAUGUCGCUGCCCUUACAGAGGCUUCAGGAAGAACAUAAGAGCAUCUGCCCCGCCCACAGGCUGCUGGAUAUGAUGCAGACUCUGGGCACGUACUGUCCCAUGCUUCCUAUGGGAUAUGACUCCCCCUGAGGCGUGCUCUCCAGAAAACCUCGGGAAUUCCAGGCUAUCAUCUAUUUUGAGCCUCCUUCAUCAUCCCGAUCACCUUCUCUCCGGGCAAAAAGCUAACCCAGUGCCAGGUUUCCCAAAUGCUGACUCCUACCCAACCUCUGCAUCUGAUCAGCCUACCUGAAGCUUCCGGAGACCACAGCCUGCGGCAACGUCUGGCGUGACACCACAUGGUGUCCCUUUCUAGACAAGUUGUGGCUAAACACAUAUUUCUCUGUCAUUCUGACUUCUGUGGUCUGUGAGUCCUGGGCUGAGCUGGCCCUCUGCACUUAGGUGGAUGGCCCUCCUGUGACCACGGUGAAACUCCAGGAAAGAGGUCUGAGGACUCGCACCAUCCAGGGAGGGCCUAGUAGCCAUCAAGGGUAGUCAUGGGCUCUUGAGCCUUAUAAGCAAACACGUGCUCUGUGUUUGGGAAGAGGAUCAAGGAACCCCUGUGUGGCUUCAAGGGCCAGGUCACAGCCUACCCAAUUCUCAUUUUACAACAAGGCAUGACGUCUUUAUCUGACCUGGCUUUUUUCCAUGUUGCUGGUGGCUGGGAGUCCAGUCAGAGCCUGUAUAGCCUCUCUGCAAGGUUCAGCGUUUUCUCAAUGCCCCCCCCCCAUACCCUGCCUGCCCCUUUCCAUUCCUGCAGCCAGGGGUCUCCCAGGGAGAGCAGAGCACGUAGGUGCCAAUGCAUGGGCUCCUGCCGGGUUGUGCUCUGCAACUGGACAGGGCCAUGCUCUGCUGGGACCCCUGUGUUUUAUGAUGUUGCUGCACGCACCUCUGUACAGGCCAGGCAGAGGAUACUGUGAGUCCUUCAGUGUCCUACCCUGGGCUGGCAAGAUGGUUCAGCCCCUGCCAUUGAGCCUGAAGACUUGAAUUCAGGACUCCCGUGGUGGAAGGAGAGAGCAAACACCCCCAUGCUGACCUAGGACCUUCAUAUGUGUCAUGUGGGACACAUUGCCACACCCACACAAAAUAAAUGACGUGAUUUUUUUUUCUUGAUAAAAGAUACCAUUCUGCAAGGUAUCGUGGUACAUGCUCAGCACUUGGAAGCAGAGGCAGGUGGCUGUCUGUGAGCUCUGAGCUAACACUGGCUGCAUAGUGAGUUCCAGUUCAGUCAGGGCUACAUAGUGAGACCCUGUCUUUAAAAAACAACAGCCAGGCGGUGGUGGCGCACACCUUUAAUUCCAGUACUUGGGAGGCAGAGGCAGAUGGAUUUCUGAGUUCAAGGCCAGCCUGGUCUACAAAGUGAGUUCCAGGACAGCCAGGGCUAUACAGAGAAACCCUGUCUCCAAAAACCAAAACCAACCAAACAAACAAACAAAAACAACAAUAGCAAAAAACCAUCCCAUGGGCCAUGUUUCACAUUCUCUCCUGUCCCUAAACAAUUCCAGCCCUACUACCUUGGGAUCAGUUUGCCAACUUGAAGGACUGGGAUGGCUCAAUAUAGUCCUUGAUAUAUAGGAAGGUAGGCUAUCAUGCCAAGCCAAGCAAAAGCAUCAGGAACGAGACCAGGGUCACACUGCUGGGGUCAUCCCAAGAACAGCCACAGUUAACAGCUUGUGUGCUCGAGGUGCUGCAAAGAUACACUCACCUGAAUCCUGGAGCAACCCUGAGAGAGUAGAGGCAGCUGUUCCAGAUGAGAGAACUGAGAACCAAGGGGCGGCAAGUUUGUAAACCCUGGCACACAGUGAAUGCCUGACCUGCAGGCUCAGGGCUCUCUCCCUGCUGCCCAGGCCCCUGGCAGGUUAGAUCUUGAGAGUGAGACCACAGGAUGCUGGGCUCCCAGGGCACUGGCAGCAUCUUCCAGGGCUGUCCCAGCAAGAGCCUCCUCCCAACCCCCAGGGUCUUGGGUCUCAGCUGUGGCCACAGUGUUCUCUAUAGGCCGGUGUCUCCAGUUGUCUCAGUCUCUCCUGUUGCUGUCUUUCUUCAUCUGUUCCAGUUCGUGUCUUUCUCCUUGUUUGUGCCUUAGGGACCUCCUGCAUAUUGGUGUCUAGAACAGUGGUUCUCAACCUUCUUAAUGCUGAGACCCAUUAAUGAUGUUGUGGUGACAUCGCCCCCCCCCCAAUCCACCCAAGCACAAAAUUAUUUUCGUUGCUACUUCAUAACUGUAAUCUUGCUACUGUUAUGAAUCAUAAUGUAAAUAUCUGAUAUGCCAUCCUCAAAAAAGGGUCUCAACCCACUGGUUGAGGACCACUGGUCUAGGCCAUUGUAGAGCUGGUACCUCUGGUUACUGUCUUCAUUAACGUCUCUGUACUGGAGUCCCUGUUUGGCCCGGACAUCCUAUAGCUGUCCUAGCAUUCAGUUCUUCACUCAACAAACAUUACUAAAACCAGGCAGAGUAUAAGUAGAAUCUAUAAGCAUAUAUAACGCUUACAUGCUAAGCAUUUAUGUUUGCUACCAGUCAGCUGAGCUAUGCUUUUUUCUUUUCUACCCAAUAAAGUAGCUGAGACUAUCUUCCA